rnacentral:rRNA from 1 species
UACGUAGGGGCCUAGCGUUGUCCGGAAUCAUUGGGCGUAAAGAGCUCGUAGGCGGUUCGGCAAGUCACGUGUGAAAUCUCCACGCUUAACGUGGAGGCGCCACGUGAAACUGCCGUGACUCGAGUCCGGUAGGGGAGUGUGGAAUUCCCGGUGUAGCGGUGAAAUGCGCAGAUAUCGGGAGGAACACCAGUAGCGAAGGCGGCACUCUGGGCCGGUACUGACGCUGAGGAGCGAAAGCGUGGGGAGCGAACAGA